UCACAAUAUUUCAACGACUUCAAUUGGU
rnacentral:sRNA from 1 species